rnacentral:rRNA from 1 species
GCAAUGGAGCAACGGCUUAUGCAUCGAUGAAGCCCGCGGUAAAAUGCGAUAUGUAAUGAGAUUCGUUAGCCUCGCGAUUCAUCAAAUUGGUGAACACAUACUGGACCUCUUCGGAGGUACUUGCGUUAGAGUGCUAGUUUUCUAUCAAUUGAUCCUGGUAAAAGGUGUUUGAAUCGUUAGGUUCUUACGCCCUAGCCGGUGGACCCGGAUUCUCUCUGAGAAUUCGGAUUGUUCCUGGUCUUUGACUGGGUCAAUCACUUUUAUUAAACUGGCCUCUAAUGUGAGAGGGUACCCCCUGAAA